GGUUCGCGCGGGCGCCCGCACGCGCUAAACUGGCGGGUUUUUUUGCCGCUCGCGCGUUUUACCGCGCCUGUUGGAGAUGCUCUAAGACCUUAGCAAAAGUACCAUUCGUCACAUUUGCACCUACCUUGCUGCUCUAUAUAAGUGAUCGAGUUGGCAUUACAAAUCGUACUACUCGGCAGCAAAUACAGGAAGCCAACAACAAUGGCACAGAAGUACUCAACGGCCUCGGUUAGGCUGAUGCUGACCCUCCUCGUUCUGCUGGUUUUCGUUGGUAGCAUCCUCGCCAAAGAUGCUCGUGGACCAUCCAAAUGUAGCGAAGCCUUUCAAGGAAAUUGCCCGCCAAUCCAUGGUGGCUCAUAAGUACUUGAUCGAUGGACCAUUUCUAAGCCGCGAGCAGGAUUUAGCAGGAUCUCGAUCGUGCUUGGGCAGCGGCUUAUGUACUAUAUAUGUUCUCGACGUGUAGUCGAUCAGUGUGCAUGUUCUUCGGAUUGGUGCUUGUACUGGUUAUAGAUAAAUAAAAAGUGUUUGUGUUGCAAACCAAAUAUUGCAACCUUUUGUCUUUAA